GGCCGCCUUUUAGACCCUCAAAACAGCUUAACAGAAGUUAAUUAUCGACUAAAUUAGGUUAGAAGUCAAAUCCUCCCUUCUGGUUAGCUGAUAAUCGCUUUUUAUAGCCCUUGGAACCGACUUACGUACGCUGGGCGUAAGUCUAAUUACGCUGGGCGUAGUGAGGAUUAAUACGCGAUGAGGUUAUCCGGAUGCCAGCCGUUACGCGAGGCGUACAUAUAGCUUACGCUGGGUGUAACUCGUAUUUGGCUAUUACGCUUGGCGUACAUGUACAUUACGCGGGGCGUAAACGGCUCCUCCAGCAUUUUUCCUUUCUUUUAGCCUCUAAGCCCGAUUUCCGCUUCAGUCUUUUCUUUUGUGCUCUAUCGACAACGAAUAGCUGCAAAUCAUAAUUCAAAGCAUUAUAAGUACUUUUUAGUUCUAAAAGAGAAUAAUAAAGGCCAAAAUAUUAAGAUAUAAUGUAUAAAAAUAUAUAUAAAAAUACACAUAUCACUGGCUAUGACUUCGCUCUGUACUAUAGCUCCAGUGGAAGGAAUAGAAGGAAUGGAAGGAAGGGACAGUGGUGGUAGUGACCGAUUAGUUGACACAUGUUUCCUAUCACCACUGUUUUCCAGCCAUUGCCUCCACUUCCCUACCGUUACCUCCAUAUCUUCUUCCUUAACUCGAUGAAACCUCUCAUUCUUAGAUCCUAAAACCCCCAUUUCCCCCAAUUCAUCUCUCUCCCUAAUUUCACCCAUACAUCUCCCUAGUUAGAAAAACAUGCUCAAAUCGAAUCAAAGGGUACUUAAACCCAAAUCGAAUCACCCACUGGAAAUUGUUGCCAAGUGGGUGGCAUGCUAAAGGAGUUUAGUCAACAAAGACGACGAGAGACUUUUAACCCAAAUCGAAUCACCUACCAUAUAUGGAGCCUUUGGUGGUGCAUACUAGUAUCAACAAACGAUGACGACAAUAAUGGGGAGACAGAAACCAGAUGGAGCAGCACCACCGACUAUCAACAAAUCCUCGAUGCCUUAUGAUUCAUUUGCCUUAAUUUUAUUCUGUCACUUUUUUCCUCUAUGCUCUAUUAGUUGCAAUGGUACCUAUUUGAGGGUUUUAGUUAGAAUGGGAAAGGGGUUGCGAUGGAGGAUAUGGUAAGGCGGCAGUAGACGGUGGUGACGAUCGAUUAUGUUUAAGUUGCUGGUGGUGAGAUGUAGGCACGAUGGCCAUGGUGGUGGUGUGCGUGUCGAUGGAAGAAAGAAAAAGAUGGGGAGAAUUGUCGAGAGAUAAGGGGAGGAGGGUGGAUAAG
rnacentral:lncRNA from 1 species